CAAGCUAGGGUUUCCCAAGUAAUCGAGCCCUCCGUCGCUGAAGAUCUGUGAACCGGCCUUGAACCAAACGGCCUCUCCGAACUUGACUCCGUUCCUGGCCAAAAGCUCAGGGAAGACGCAGCCAAGGGCUCCGAGCAUGGCCCACCUGCUGUGGAUAACUUCUAGCUCACGGUUCCUUGCGAAUGUCUCUGGGUCAGCAGAGAGUCCAGCGGUGUCCCAUCCGUAGUCUCCGGGGAACUCUCCAGUAAGGUAGCUCGGUGGCUCGCCAGAGAAUGGACCCAAGUACUUGACUCGGUCAGAUCCGUACCAUGGGCUGCCUGAUGGACCCUUUGGCUUGGCCACAGUCUUCCUCAUCGUCACACGGCCGCUUCCGAGGACUUCUGAUGAAGCCGGGGAAAGGUUCACAGCCUUUCCGGCGAAGGCAGGGGAGGAGAGAGCCAUUGUUGAGGCAGCCAUUGAAAUGUUUUUGGUUUUUUUUUUUUUUUUUUUGGUGACUAACUUGUGAGUGAGAGUGAGUGAUAACGUUAAGAUAGGUUUGGAUUAAAUAGUGAUAUUGUGAGUAACGUUUGUUAUCUCUCAAGUAAUCUUUAUCUCUUCGCUCAUUGGGUUUUUGAGAUUUUUGUUUUAUCGUUUCUUAUUCUUAGGUGGCAGUCUCUUGUCCACGAGCUUUCACUUUGGUUUUUUCAUUGCAGCCAAAGCAUUUUGAGACCACAGGUUGUAAAUCUUUGGAAAUGGCUAAAUUUUUGUGAAAAUAGAUAACUUAUUUGAGAGAUUUUUUUCUCUUUAAAAAAGUUAAGAACAUUUCCAAGAUUGAUAUCAUCGAAACAUCAUACAUUUUGAUCGAUUAUUUUUUUUGGGGUGAAACUAUGGUGCUUUGAUCAUGACUAUCAAUAAGUGUAAUAUGAAGUCCCGAUCACUAUCAAUUUACAGAAGUGCAAUUCAUCUUAACAUCGUUUCCAUUGUUACUUUAUCCACUAACCUGAUUCUCAUGAACAAUGUAAAUAAUUUCUAAAACUUUUAGUUAUUUUUAAAAAAUUGCAAAAACUAUUUGAAUAUUUAGGAAGACGAUACAUAACACAUUGAAAAAACUACCAUAUUUAUUAAAUUUUAACCGUGAUUGUAGUAUUCUGUUGUAAAAUUGAACAACAUUGUAGAGAUGAAAAAAAAACAAGACAAUAAUUUAUUUGAGGUUUAAUUUGCAGCAACCUAAGUUCUCAAUCACUUUGAUAGAAAACGCUUUAAGCUAUCAUCAAUUCACGCUUAAUGAUUUCAAUCAUCCUAAACAAUUUCUAAUUUUAACACUCAUUUUUUUUUUUGUUACAAAGCACAAUUAUAGUUUUAUCAUCAUUCAUUGACCUCACACAUGAAUUCACCUAUGAGGCUAUGGCUAUGUAUAUAUAUGCAUUAGAACGCAUGUUCUAUAGUAGUAUACGUUGAAAAUAAAUAACACUAUGCAUGUUCAGUUCUAUUCGCUUUAAUCUUUCGGUACUAAACACCAACGAUAUCAUGCAUUCUUCUAUAUAUACUCUGAUUACUCACUCAAAACAUCUAUGUCCCAUAUCAAGGAAGAUUUCAAUGAAAUCAUUUGAUCUAGACUUAAUUUAUUUUCUUCGGUUAGGAAACCAGGACAUGCAUGUUUUAGUACUCCGAAAUAUCCAAACAUAAUUUCAGUUAUUAUGUAUUCGCCAAUUAUAGCGUGACAAAUGAACCCGGUCCACGUACAGAGGAACUCACAGUCACAUGCAGAACGCAAUCGUCUGUCCAAUUACUCGAUCGUAGUCGUACGAGCUUCAAAAUCAACCAAACACAGAAGGAACAAACACAUGCACAUAGACAACAUGUGAUGAGAGGCAUCACAUACACCUUCUACUUCUAGAGAUUAAAAACCGUACGUUUACCAAGAAACUUGAUACUAGAAAAACAAUAAACAAAAUUUUUGAUUUUGAGACGGCCAUGACUGUUUUCUCCGUUCUGAAAGUUCGUCUGCUCGCAAACGGCCAUCCUUCGCUAAUUCCAAAAGAGAAAAGAACAAACACAUAAUUUCGCCGACCAAAUUUUUUCAAAAAUAAUUUACUUUAGCACCAAAUAUAUAUAAAAUAUGUAAUUACCGGUCUUUCUACAAACUAAUAACACUAUGCUAGUGGUUGAUACCAGCUAUGUUUCAACAAUCUAAACACAUAACUAUUGUCUAUCCCCAUAUACGCGAAAAAGAAAAUUGUUUUAUGUCCAAUGCAUAUUUUAGAGUUUUCACGAGACGACAAGUAUGUGAGAAAAAAUGAGUUAUUUGAUUAAUGACAAACCAUACAAAGUCUUUGCAAAUUUACAUAUGAAAGUCUCCAACCAUCCAUCACAAACACAAACCCUCUCUUUCUCCUCCUGUCUCUCACUCGAAUUCAAAAUACUAAAAUAAAAUGCAAAUUACAAACUGAUAAAACUUUGCUCACUUUCCGGGAACAAAGUUGGUGGCGAAGGCCCAUGCGUUGUUGUUGACUGGAUCGGACAAAUGGUCAGCAAGGUUCUCCAAAGGUCCCUUACCGGUGACGAUGGCUUGAACGAAGAAUCCAAACAUAGAGAACAUAGCCAAUCUUCCGUUCUUGAGCUCCUUUACCUUUAACUCAGCGAAGGCCUCUGGGUCGGUAGCCAAACCCAAUGGGUCGAAGCUGCCUCCGGGGUAAAGCAAGUCCUCGGCCUCUCCCAAUGGACCAUCUCCUGCGACUCUGUAGCCUUCAACAGCUCCCAUCAAGAUGACUUGGGUGGCCCAAAUCGCCAAAAUGCUCUGGGCGUGGACCAAGCUAGGGUUUCCCAAGUAGUCAAGCCCUCCAUCGCUGAAGAUUUGUGAACCGGCCUUGAACCAAACGGCCUCUCCGAACUUGACUCCGUUCCUGGCCAAAAGCUCAGGGAAGACGCAGCCAAGGGCUCCGAGCAUGGCCCACCUGCUGUGGAUAACUUCUAGCUCACGGUUCCUAGCGAAUGUCUCGGGGUCAGCAGAGAGUCCGGCGGUGUCCCAUCCGUAGUCUCCUGGGAACUCACCGGUGAGGUAGCUUGGUGGCUCGCCAGAGAAUGGACCCAAGUACUUGACUCGGUCAGAGCCGUACCAUGGGCUGCCUGAUGGACCCUUUGGCUUGGCAACAGUCUUCCUCAUCGUCACACGGCCGCUUCCGAGGACUUCUGAUGAAGCCGGGGAAAGGUUCACAGCCUUUCCGGCGAAGGCAGGGGAGGAGAGAGCCAUUGUUGAGGCGGCCAUUGAAAUGUUUUUGGUUUUUUUUUUUGGUGACUAACUUGUGAGUGAGAG
rnacentral:lncRNA from 1 species